AAUAACGAUGACGAAAGCAARCCCCCUUGGGWAACACUGRCGYUCAUGCWMGAAAGCGUUGRAAGCAAACAGGAUUAGAUACCCCUGGUAGUCCACGCCMUAAAAGAUGUCAACUAGUUGUCGGGAGGGUAACCCUCUUGGUAACGCAGCUAACGCGURAAGUUGACCGCCYUGGGAGUACGGUCGCAAGAUUAAAACUCAAAGGAAUUGACGGRGGCCCGCRCAAGCGGUGGAUUAUGUGGAUUAAUUMGAUGCAACGCGAAAAACCUUACCUACCCUUGACAUGUACGGAACUUUCCAGAGAUGGAUUGGUGCUCGAAAGAGAACCGUAACACAGGUGCUGCAUGGCUGUCGUCAGCUCGUGUCGUGAGAUGUUGGGUUAAGUCCCGCAACGAGCGCAACCCUUGUCAUUAWUYRCCAUCAUUUAGUUGGGCACUUUAAUGAGACUGCCGGUGAUAAACCGGAGGAAGGUGGGGAUGACGUCAAGUCCUCAUGGCCCUUAUGGGUAGGGCUUCACACGUAAUACAAUGGUCGGUACAGAGGGUCGCCAACCCGCGAGGGGGAGCCAAUCUCAGAAAGCCGAUYGUAGUCCGGAUUGUUYUCUGCAACUSGAGAGCAUGAAGUCGGAAUCGSUAGUAAUCGCGGAUCAGCAUGUCGCGGUGAAUACGUUCCCGGGUCUUGUACACACCGCCCGUCACACCAUGGGAGCGGGUUCUGCCAGAAGUAGGUAGUCUAACCGCAAGGGGGGCGCUUAACGMCCAGGGAUUCAYCAMKGGGGUGAAGUCGUAACAAGGUAACCGU
rnacentral:rRNA from 1 species